UACGGGGGGGGGCAAGCGUUGUUCGGAAUUACUGGGCGUAAAGGGCUCGUAGGCGGCCAACUAAGUCAGACGUGAAAUCCCCCAGGCUUAACCUGGGAACUGCGUCCGAUACUGGUAGGCUUGAAUCCGGGAGAGGGAUGUGGAAUUCCAGGUGUAGCGGUGAAAUGCGUAGAUAUCGGGAGGAACACCAGUGGCGAAGGCGACUACCUGGCCUGUUCUUGACGCUGAGGCGCGAAAAGCUAGGGGAGCAAACGGG
rnacentral:rRNA from 1 species